GGAGAGUGGGCAGGACGGUAAUGCGCUGGUUUCGAAAACCAGUUCCGGUAACGGAUAACAGGUUCGACUCCUGUAUUCUCCGCAA
rnacentral:tRNA from 1 species